ensembl:lncRNA
GGCGACCUUCCAAUGCCACAUUGCAACGGCCAGUGUGCUUUGUUAGCAAACAGGGACCCCCCCCUCUUUUUCAAGUCUGAAUGCACGAGGAUCUGAAGGUUCGUCCCAGGCCGAUAAUCUCCGGCGGCAUCACCUCACCGAGGAGAGGAAGGUGCUGGGCGCAUGCAGAGCAAGUGAGGCGCCUUCGCUCUUCGCUACACUUCUGACGCGGGGCGGGAUGGAAUUGGAUUACAAGAUCUGAGGGUUUUGUUUUUCUUUUUGCUUGGCUGGUUGGCUUUUUUUCUUUUUGUAAGAACCCACUGCCCUGGCAAUGAUUCCCACCACACUGCCAAAAUGGGGGCGGGGGGAGGCUCAAGGACAGCGGGGUCCCUGCGGCUGCGCAACUCUGCAGAGGGAGCCUGGGCAGCAGCCCGCGACCCCGCCUGCGUCCACACGGGGACCAGGAGCCCGGCCCGCUUAAUGGCCACCUUUCGGCUUAGUGAACCAGGACUCCAGGCGGCGACCAACGCAAACCCUAAAGGAAGGGGUACUCCUCUAGUGGCCUUUGCUCUCCGCAUCAUUGGGUGCGUUCCCGAACGUGGCGCAGGCUUAAGCGCGAGGGGAAGCCACGGCCACCGCCCCCAACACAAAGAGACGGGUCCUCACACGUACUUCCGUGCUACACAAGAACCCCUCAAGGGGGAGCUGAGGAAACGAGGGGCAGGGGACAAGCCAGGUGCUCAGACGCAACUUUACUUCAAAGCGUCUGGCACAAGCAAUGGGGGAAAAGGGUACCGUAGGGAGGACGCGGUGCGCAGGCGCGGGGAACCAAGACCUGAGAGUUUGGAGCUGCCCCUCCCCCUUCCUCAAAAGCCAGGGAAGUUGCCCCACUGCGCCUGCGCGACAAUGUUCGGGGAGGGGAGAGCGGGCCAGUUCCCUGCGUUGAGAGAACCGCCCCCUCAGGUGAGCGAGCGCGCGAGUGCGCGCACGUACCACUCUCAAACUCCCUCGCGCGGCCUUUUGCGCCCGCCCUAUCGCGCGUGCGCCGGGAAGGAGGCGGCUGCGGCCGAAUUUGCGGCUUUUUUCUGAGUUUCUCUUGAGAAGUUUCUGGAAAGACGAAGCCUAAAGGAAGCUGGGGGAUGGGAAGAGCGGGGAAGCCGCAUUUGAGAGAAGAAAGCGAAAUAUCCAAAGCAGACGGCCAUCGCUCUGCCUCCCAACUCUCAAGCCACGGCCAAGGAGAGCCCGAGACCCUCACAUCCAGGGGAAAAGCAUGAGGACCGCACAGCUGCUGCUUCCUCUGGCCGUGACUAGAACCCUCGCCUCCGGGGCAGGGGAAAGGGAAGGGGUGUCCGGGAACACCCGGAGCGGCCCGGGACGUUUGCGCGGUGGAGCGGGCGCCAGUGGCCCGGAGAUCUGGGCCCCCGCCUGCAGUGGGCGUGGCUGCCGAGCUGCGGUUUAGGGGCGCCAGACUCCCGUUUUCCGUAGCCUCUCUUUGGUGGCUCUGUGUUUUCCCCUCCACCCGCCUCCACUUCGGUGGCGUGGAGCUAAUGCAGCGAGUGCGGAGAAGCCGCUCUACGUGGCCGCGGUGGGGCGGGGGCGCCGGCGCCUGGCUGCCAUUUUGUGGCUCGGCCGCCAUUUCGCGCCGCGCGGGUGGCGGGGCGCAGGCGCGGCACCUUUGUUCUUGGGACGCUGCCUGGCUGGGCGCGCGCUUCCCCGCGGCCUGGGGAACCUGUACCAAAGAUCCCACGCCCUCCUCGCUCGUGGACAACAUAACGGCCCGGCCGCCGUGGGAAAAAGACGCCUUGCCGGGGAGGGUUAACGCAGCGUGGAAAGCCGCUCUCUGGAACCUCGGGCCUGAGGGAGGAGCAAAGCGUGGGCCCUUGUGGCGCUCUGUAAAGAGUAGGGCAGAGCAAGCAGCUGCGGGAGCCCUAAUAAAGGUGUUAAAGCCCUCGUAAUCGGGAGACCCGAUCGCUUUACAAAAGAAAAACACCCGAAGUAGCGCCUGAAGUGCUGCCAGGCGGUGGAGAACAGAGCUCACGUCUCAUUGGCUGGCUCGCUCGCUCUCUCUGCGCAAUUGCGUUCGGACGAGGGUAUGGCCCAUUAUUUACAUCUGAUCAGCAGCAGGAACAAUGGGUCGUGAAGUCUCUCGCUUUUCUUGAGAAUAUUUUCUGUUUAACUGCUUUUUCAAAUCCCUUGGAUUGAACUCAGGUCCUUGUGCUUCCGCAGCAGGUGGUGAAACCACUGAGCUAAAUCCCCGGCCCUCCAAUAUGUUAAUAUGAGAGUCGCCCUGACCACCGCUGCCUUCCCUCUCAAGGCUACAGAUUCCACUUUCCACGACCACAACCUGCACAGACGAGCACCAAGAGGAGCAGGAUAAGGCAGAAAAGGAC